rnacentral:lncRNA from 1 species
UCAUUUUCAAAGAAAUAGAUAAAUAUAAAAAACACUUCACUUCUUUUUUAUUGCAAAGCAAAGGUUACGUCGUUCUGUUUUAGAAUAAUACAAAAUUCAAAGUGAAAAUCAUGCGUAACAAUAGUUUCCUUCGGAGCAUACGCGACAAAUUAAAAUGUUACAUGCUAUACAGUGCAUGUGUAUUAACAUCACGGCCGUGUCUCGGGCAGUAAUGGAUGUGUCAUGUGUGAACAAUAUCGACUGCAUUAUAUAAAACAACACCUUGUAUUUUCUUGGAGCACGCAAUCCCAGACUUUUUGUUUUUAUACUAAUACAUUUACAAUACACUAAUUAUUAAUACUAAGUCUCCGUAAUACGGAAGAGGUGGCAAUGUUUGAGAUCCGCUGAACCCAACUUACAAAGGGAGUGAAUGCGAGGCAGGUGUGGAAAAAUUCUAAACAGAAACAUGUUUGCCGACUGAAUUUCAACCGAGUGUCUCACGUUAGCAUGAAAGUUAUGAGCUUUGUAUUUUAUUUUCACAUUCUUUCUAAAUGCUUAAUGACAAUGCAAUGAACAAGUUUAUUAUGAUUGUUAAAAAGUUUUUAUAUUUGAAACAGAACAGAACACGUGCAUUAUACAAAAAAAUCAUAAUACAAAACUCGUUUCCUUGUCUAUACUGACACUUUUUUCUGAAAAGUUUGAGAUUAAACGUAGAAUAAAAUUUAUUAUAAUGUAACAUUAUAGUUCUCGAAAUGAAUGACACACACAUUCCAAGCGCAGAUUUAGCGUUGUGUGCGUGUAUCCAUUUACAAAUACGAAUAUUCUAUUAAGUUUUAUAUGUAUAUUUCACAUCGCCACAUAUUUUUGUGUUUUGAAGCUAGUUUCAUUUUAUUGAAUAAAUUUGUCUAAAGUCGGUUAGCCUACCAACGGUCGAUAAUAUUAUAAAAAAAUACCAUAUUUACUCACUUUUCAAAUAAUUCAUUUUUGGGAUAUUAAAACAGAUUUUCUAGGUCAGCCGUUUUCAUGGAUGACAAAAUAAUGAAAAAUAAUUAAUGACAAUGUGUGCUUAGGUAUGAAGCAGUUAUUGAUAGAAUUUCUUAGAAUAUCCUCGAAUUCAUCUUUAUGAUAAUUAUUAUAGCCAAUAAGAACACUUAAUGCCGAGAUGUAGUUAUAAUUAUACUGAAUUAACCAGUUAUGAAUUUAAAACGGUAGUAUUUGAAUUGUGCUUGUAAUACAUGUGUUUUGCAUCCAUGUGAGCGGAGCGGCUCUUCACUCUAAGGGCGCUUUGUCAUCCACUCCCUCCCGGCUCCAACUAAACAAUUGUUAAACAUUCUACCCGUUCGUACUAUAGGCUAAAAUAUAAAGAAUUUUUGGAUUUGCUUUUUACAAGGUUUAUAGAUGGGGAUAAAAUUAUUAAUGUAUAACAAUUAUAUUUUUGAGAUAUAGGUCAGAAGUAGAUAAGGUAUAGAUUUUUUUUUUUAUCAAGACCGUUUGUAUUUAUUACCGUAAACCCAAUUAAAAUACAUCUUAGUAUGAUAAAUCUACAUAUUAAUACCUAAAAAUAAAACGAUGUACCCCUUUUUAAGCACAUUACGCGCAAGGCGGAGUGUUAGUUUUGGAAUGAUUAAAGUUCAUAAUAUAGGAAGUGCAAACAAAAUAUAAUAUACAUAUGUGUUAGAAAUAUAAUCAAUCCGACAGACGAACUUCGACCACUAGACGAACAAUGGUAAAUAAAAUUGUCUGUAUAAUAAAUCAGUAUAUUUGACAUAAAAUAAAACUAACUCUAUGUGACACACAGUUUAAGUUCUACGGCGCAUGAAAUGUUUUUUGAAAUGCGUUAGCAAAAGGCAAAGUAACUCGUUGUAGUCCGAUUUUAUAUUAAAGAGCAACACAUUUAGAAUAUCACUAAGGAACUAUAGCACUCGAUUAAGACAAAGGUAUCCGGAAACCUAUCUGUGGUUUCGCGGAAUUUUCUCGAAUUUUAAAACUCACACAUACUCAGGCCUUUUAUUCCCGAAUGGGUGAACAGCAGCGCAAUUGGUGCACCCACUUUACACCGUGUGUAUUCCAUCCCAUGACAUGAUAGGGGUUGAGCCUACUACCAUAUCGGGUACAAAUUCCAUCCUCCGGUCUUAUACUGAGUAGGAAAAUACAAUAUCAUUUUGCCCGACCUGGGGAUCAAACCCGAAACCUCAGCAUUACAUUCGUACUGUAAUACAACUACGCCAUAGAGGCAAUGGAAUGCUAAGUACAACAUAAUUGUUUCCAUAUUAGGAUUCCGUGAAGAGCAAAGAUCCUUCCCGACAAACUUCGUUACUUAAUGGAAUGACAUAAGUAAGAAAUAAAAUAUAAAAAAAAUUACGAAAAAAAAGAAUCUAAGCGAGUGAUGUAAAAAAAUCGCAUCAUUAAUAAAAUAUUAUUUUACUGAAAACAACUUCAUCCUAACAAAAAUGUAACGUUAACGUAGCAACAAAAGUUCAAUUUAUCUUAUAACGUCUACACUUCAUUGACAUAGUAGGUACGUUGAUCAUACACAAAAUCUGUUCACAAAAUUACAAAUAAACUAUAUAUUUAAUAAGUUUUGUACUUGCAAGCCGUACGCA